UACGAAGGGGGCUAGCGUUGCUCGGAAUCACUGGGCGUAAAGGGUGCGUAGGCGGGUCUUUAAGUCAGGGGUGAAAUCCUGGAGCUCAACUCCAGAACUGCCUUUGAUACUGAAGAUCUUGAGUUCGGGAGAGGUGAGUGGAACUGCGAGUGUAGAGGUGAAAUUCGUAGAUAUUCGCAAGAACACCAGUGGCGAAGGCGGCUCACUGGCCCGAUACUGACGCUGAGGUAGA
rnacentral:rRNA from 1 species